rnacentral:tRNA from 1 species
AGUGUGGUUUAGUGGUAGAAUGCUUGCCUAGCAUGCAUGAAGCCCUGGGUUCGAUUCCUCAGCACU